GGGCCCGCACAAGCGGUGGAGCAUGUGGUUUAAUUCGAUGAUACGCGAGGAACCUUACCAGGGUUUAAAUGCAGAACGACAGGGGUGGAAACACCCCCUUCUUCGGACGGACUGCAAGGUGCUGCAUGGUUGUCGUCAGCUCGUGCUGUGAAGUGUCGGGUUAAGUCCCAUAACGAGCGCAACCCCCAUUUCUAGUUGCCAGCGGUUCGGCCGGGGACUCUAGAGAAACUGCCAGCGUAAGCUGUGAGGAAGGUGGGGAUGACGUCAAAUCAUCACGGCCCUUACAUCCUGGGCCACACACGUGCUACAAUGGUAGGGACAACAGGUUGCCAACCCGCGAGGGUGAGCCAAUCCCAAAACCCUAUCUCAGUUCGGAUCGGAGUCUGCAACUCGACUCCGUGAAGUUGGAAUCGCUAGUAAUCGGAUAU
rnacentral:rRNA from 1 species